UGGCAGGCAGAACAACAGGUCAAGGGCAGGCAGAGGUCAGUCAUCCAGAUAAGAGUCCAAAAGGUACAGAACGGCAGGCAGGCUCAGAGCAGGCAGAAUGGUCAAAACCGGGAAUACUAGAAAACAAGAAAAAGGCAGGAGCAAGGGGAAAACCAUUGUAGGCUUGACGAACAAAACAAACUGGCAACAGACCAACAGAGAACACAGGUAUAAAUAAACUGGGGAUAAUGGGGAAGAUGGGCGACACCUGGAGGGGGGUGGAGACAAACACAAAGACAGGUGAAACAGAUCAGGGUGUGACAGGCAGCUAAAGUAGCACUGUAGACAGAAGGCAAUAACACCAGACCUGUUCAUCUAUAUGCUUCUGCAGAAUAGUGAGCUACUAUCAGAUGAGGGGAUGCAUUUGCAGGAGAAAGAGAGGAGGAGGAGGCAGAGUGUGAGCACGCUCUCUCAGACACUGCAGGGCCAUACGAAGGAACACACACCGGCACCAUCAGCGUCAGGGUCUGCCCGCGGCAGGCAGGACCUCCAGCACUGCAGCCCCCCAGCCCCAACCCAGGACCUCGCCAGGCCUCUACCACCUUCAUCUCCACCAGACAGUCGUCUCAACCAGGCUGAACCAUGGCACAAGCUGCCAAACAUCUCGUGAAGAACAAGGAAUUAAAAAUCCAGCUCGAGGCGGAGCGCCUGCAGAAGGAGGAGGAGAAGGCCAAAAAGAGGAACCGCUCGCGGGAUAAAAAGCGCAAGGUAUGGGGUCCACUCACAGGGGGUCGGAGGGGGUGGGAAGGGGGAGAGAUGGAGAGGGGGGCAGGAGGGAGAGAGACACCCCCCUUCUUUCUCUCUCAUGCUAAGCUCUGAUCAGGGGUGCUGGGGCACACAUGGACAUAUACUGAUGCAUUUCUACAGUGUGUGCACAGUGGCACUGGCAGACAUGUACUGUGCAUACAGACAUGGGGAAACUGUAAACACACUGCAUGCUCUCCUACUCCUCUUCCUGCUUUACUGACUG
rnacentral:lncRNA from 8 species